rnacentral:rRNA from 1 species
AAACGACUCUCGGCAACGGAUAUCUCGGCUCUCACAUCGAUGAAGAACGUAGCGAAAUGCGAUACUUGGUGUGAAUUGCAGAAUCCCGUGAACCAUCGAGUCUUUGAACGCAAGUUGCGCCCGAAGCCACUAGGUCGAGGGCACGUCUGCCUGGGCGUCACGC